rnacentral:lncRNA from 1 species
CUCCGGCUUCCUGAGCACAUCCAUCCCUGCCCUGAUACCCCCAGGGCCGCCUUCUGCCUCCCAGUGGUUUGCAAGGCGUGUGUGGACUCACAGCUCACCAUCCUCCGUCCCCUACCCAACACCUGGAAUGAUCUCUGGGCUCAGGGCUGCUGCAG